rnacentral:tRNA from 1 species
UCCUCGUUAGUAUAGUGGUGAGUAUCCCCGCCUGUCGGGGGAGACAGGGGUUCGAUUCCCGGCGGGAGG